GAUCAUGGCUCAGGAUGAACGCCGGCGGCGUGCCUAAUACAUGCAAGUCGAGCGGGGCCCGCAAGGGUCCAGCGGCAAACGGGUGAGUAACACGUUGGUAACCUGCCCCUCGGAUCGGAAUACCGGUGAGAAAUCUCCGCUAAUGCCGGAUAUGUGCGCCUGGCUCGGGCUGGGCGGACGAAAGGGGGCCGAAAGGCCUCGCCGGGGGAUGGGCCUGCGGCGCAUCAGCCAGUUGGCGGGACAAAGGCCC
rnacentral:rRNA from 1 species